GUUUCAUCGAGGACAUCUGAUAAAAUUGGAACGACAUAGAGAAGAUUAACGUGACCACUGUGCAAUUAUAAUACACGCACAAAUCGAGAAAUGGUCUAUGUUGAU